GUUGGGGCAGUGAUCUGUGGAGCUGAAUGGCAGAAGGGCCAUGCACAAUGCCAAAUUCAUAUUCUGUGUUUAAGAAUCAAGGAUGCAGUGGAGUCAAGGGAUGAACGAUGACCAAGUCCUGCCAGAAACUCCUCAGACAUUAGCUAUGCCUUACAGAAAACUGCUCCCUGGUUCCACCUGGCAGACAAGAGUGUUCCCUGGAUAUCCUAGGAGUACAACACUUCCAGCCUUUGCAGGAGGAGAUCACUAAGACAUAUAGAAGGAAUCGGCAUCUCGUUUAGAAUAAUACUUGAAGCAAGCACAGACGGUAGGAAAAGAUGAAGCGUUCACAAAGACGAGCUUGCCUCCAAAGCCUCAACUUUCUGCAUUGUCUACGGGCGGAGUGCCGAGCGCUGUCCGUCUCCAGUGUCCACAGGACGGACCUCUACUGGAGGAAACCUAGGGGCCGCAAGGACGCGCACAGCACAGACGCAAUCUCCGCUGACGUUGCCGGCAGAGGAGAGGUGCGGGCCGGGACAGACGCGUUGGGCAGGAGCCCGGAACCGGCAAGGCCCGCCUAGACCAGCCCGCCGCAGUAGGAAGGCAGCAACCGCCGCGGCCCGCUUUGAACACGCCCACGCUUUGCCCAGGACGCAAGCACGCAUGCGUCUUUCUAGCAGGCCAAAGACUUCCGGGAAGCUGACUCGGCCUCCGAGCGUUCACUUCCGCCCCGUCCGCGGAAACUGUGGCUGCGGUAGAGGGCGUUCCGACACCAGGGCUCUCGAGGCGGAAAACGUCCGAGGAACUGUCUGGCCUGUCUGUCACUUUGUAAACGUUUCCUGAGCGAUUAAGCUAAUGUCUCUGAUUCACCUUUACUAACUGUUAACAGUAACAAUUUGGAAUGUCUUACACUUCUCUGUCUUGCCCCCAAAUGGAUAAUAGCAUGGAAAUGAACGUAGUGAGAGGGGAAAAAUCUUCAAAGGAAAUUUUUGCAAAAAUUCUUUAGACGGCUUUAUUCUGCUUUUUGAAGAAUGAUUUAUGUAAAUCUGAAAUUGGUUACA